AAGUACAAGAAGGCACUCAGGCCGUUUAUUGUGAUUGCAACCCUCUUUUUUUGGGAUUUACGACCAGCCCAUUAUUGUGACUAGUAGGACCCAAGGGUGACUAGUCGGACCCAUGGGUCUAAGAUUCCACGAUAGAUCCGUGAAUCGUUUUAUUAACUUGCGGAUUUUUAUUUGGUCCGUAGACUCAUGGCAUGUUGGCCAUGAUCUUCUGUGACGGGAAAGACUUAUUCUUGGGUAGGUCUUAAUGGUCUUGACUUCCGAUUUCCUCGGCCAGGCCUUCCUGCUCUUGCCUAUCAUUGGUAGUUGAUCUUCAGGCGUGCCGCGUACCACGUUCUCGGGAGGGGGCAUCCGUCGAGGCCUUUGAGUUCGUAUGCUUUGUUUCCCAAUGCUCGCGUGACUUGGUAGGGUCCUUCUCAAUUAGGCCCGAGCUUGCCUGGUCUUGGGUUUUUUGUGGUAACCGCUGCUUCUCGCAGCACAAGAUCGUCCACUCGGAAUUAUGUUGCAGUGCUCCGAUAGGCCCAGAGGAUGGCUGGUAAUGCAUCUGCCCACUGCCCUCGGGAUCCUUCUACUCGGGUCUUAAGGGUUGGCCAGUAAGAUCCUUGCCGAGUGGUUUUAUGGGCUAAGGCUGUUCCCCUGAGAUGAUUACCACAUGCUCCAUUAUGAAUCUCGUGGAGGAUGUAAUUCGCUUCGACUGGGGAUAAGCAUCUUGGGAGAGAGUACGACCUUCGAUAAAGUGUGUCAUUGAUCAUUACAUAUCUCGCUGCCUAUUGCUUUAUCUUUCGCGCUUCAAUGGCUUGUGGGGUAGCAGCCAUCUCGCAGGUACUUAAUAAUAGGGGUCAUCCAGUCUUCCCCGGCAUCUUGGGAUGCCACCUCAAUUUCCGAUAUCAUUUUGAUGCAAUAUGGUUUCCACCAGGAUUGUGCGAUUCUCAUGGUUAUUUGGGCACCGGCUAAUUUUGCUAGCGCGUCAGCAUGGCUAUUGUUGGCUCGAGACACCUGCCUCACCGUUACUUCUUAAAAUGCGCUUUUCAUUUGCUUCACUCGUAUUAAGUACCUAGCCAGUGUCUCUUCUCGUGUAGCGUAGGUUCCGUUUACUUGGUUCACCUCAAGCAUGGAGUCACCGUACGCAUUGACCAUUUCUGCCCCCGUUUGUCUUGCUAUCUUUAAUCCCGUGAUCAACGCUCCGUAUUCAGUAACAUUAUUAGUUGCUGGAAACCCAAACCUCAAAGCAUAUUCCAUUAUUAUUUCAUUUGGGCAAGUUAAAACAACUUAUUACAGAGUAUAUCUUGCCAAGAUUAACGGAGAUUUGUUAUACCCUUGUAUAUUAACUAGCCCUAUUAGUUACAUACAUAUUAGGGAAUAGAUAUCUUAGAAUUCUUUCCUCUUUUCAUGUAAUCGACGGUAUAUGUACAUGAUCAAGCAUGAACGAAAUCAAGCUUUUAGCUCAGCAA